UGUGAGGACACAGAGGGAAAGCGGUCUCCAGGCCAGGAAGAGAGAGGCUUCACUGGCGACCAUUCUUGAUCUCCGUCUUCUAGCCUCCAGAACUACAACCAAGGAAAGACCGUAUGAGCACACAGUGAAAAAGUAGUUUUCAGCACGUCAGGAAGAGAUCCUUAACAGAGUCUAACCACGCAGGCACCUUAAUCUCAAACUUCCAGUCUCCAGAACUUGAGAAAUCUGGCUUCCCAUGAAGUUCAACAUAUAUAUUUAAUUGCUCAACUUGGAAUACACAGAAGCAGUUUGAAAGCAGUCAGGUGGAAGAGCUCAGAAGCUGCUGCUUGUCCAUUCUUUGCAGAGGCCAGCAAAUAAAGCCCAGCUAUGCUGCACUGCACUUGAUAUUCUCAACUCAGGGGAAAAAAGAAUAAGGCUCAGUGCUUAGCCCUUUAUGAAGAGAAAAUUAGCAGUGAAAGUGACAAAUUCCAUUUUGCCUUUAAAAACGAAACCAUAGAGCACAGUGUCAUUUUAGUUGGAAAAGCACAAAGUUAUAACUCCUAAGGGUUUUAUUACAGCAUGACUAACACAUAUUCUUUCACUCCAGGUGCCGACAUCUGUAGUCACGUGUUUAGCUCAGUGAGGCCUCCCUAGACACUGGAAAAUUACUCAUGCAAAUCCCAAGCUUACCUUUCAUGGGAAAAAUGGGGGACUGGGAGAAAAAAUAAAGGUGGACAGAUGUUAAGCAAA